AGUGAACGCUGGCGGUAGGCCUAACACAUGCAAGUCGAACGGCAGCACAGUAAGAGCUUGCUCUUACGGGUGGCGAGUGGCGGACGGGUGAGGAAUACAUCGGAAUCUACUUUUUCGUGGGGGAUAACGUAGGGAAACUUACGCUAAUACCGCAUACGACCUACGGGUGAAAGCAGGGGAUCUUCGGACCUUUCGCGAUUGAAUGAGCCGAUGUCGGAUUAGCUAGUUGGCGUGGUAAAGGCCCACCAAGGCGACGAUCCGUAGCUGGUCUGAGAGGAUGAUCAGCCACACUGGAACUGAGACACGGUCCAGACUCCUACGGGAGGCAGCAGUGGGGAAUAUUGGACAAUGGGCGCAAGCCUGAUCCAGCCAUACCGCGUGAGUGAAGAAGGCCUUCGGGUUGUAAAGCCCUUUUGUUGGGAAAGAAAAGAAGCAGGUUAAUACCCCGCUGUUCUGACGGUACCCAAAGAAUAAGCACCGGCUAACUUCGUG
rnacentral:rRNA from 1 species